AGUUUACUGAGAGUGCUGGUAGCAUGAAGACGCAGUCUGUCCCAGUGCGUGCGCUGGGGCGCUACCUCCCCGACAGGGGACAGUAAGGAGAGGAAUCCCUGCACUGAAAGUGAAGCCACGCGCAGACGACCAAGCGACGCUGGCUUCUCGCAUCGGAGCUGAGGAAGAUCGCAACGAUGCCGGAUCAACUGAAGUUUGAAACUAACAAGGAGACGCUAAACCAGCAGAGGCCGGAGACAGCGUCAGCUAAGACGCGUCUCCGACAUCGAUACCGGCUGCGGAAAUUUUUCCAGCUGGAGCAGUAGCAGUAACAGACUCAUCACAGAUACGGUGACAACAUUAACGCUAAGAUCAACAGGGCAGGAGAAUGUCUCAAUCGAUUCGCAAGGAUAACAUCGUCGCGAUCGCUUUUAUUAAUGCAUACCUUAUAAACUUGCCGCGAGAAAAAAAUAUUUAACUAUUCAAAGCAAAAGGCUAGUCAUAGUCGCUACUACAGUAGAGGAUUAUGUGCCACCAUAUUCCUACGCUGUUUGAUUGUAUCAACCGCUGCGUUGGUUGUUGUGCAACUAUUCAGCUUGGUCGGGCAUCAUUGAAACCAUGAAAUUCUAUCACUUUGCGUAUCACGAUUUCAUGAGAUCACAUUUUCAAUGAUCGGCAGGGCCCUUCCAAGUGAAUCAAGGACAACUACCGCAGUCAGCGAGUUGCCGCCAAUCUUCCUGAGAAGCGUCGGAAUAGCCUAGCAGUUAAAAUUUUGGAAUUUCUAUGUAUACGAAUCAAGUGGUCCUCAUUUCACUCGCGAGUAAGGUUUACCAAACGCCACCUGUUGAUAACAGUUUUGCGCCUCUCAUGUAGAUCUAGACGGCACUGCCCGAGAGAGAGGGAACUGUAGUUGAGUAGUACGGCUAUAGAUCCGCUAGGUGGCUACCCGUAACACCAAAGCAAAACUGGUUCUCGAGGAGAUAUAAACGAGCAGCAAGUUAUCAUCAAUUAUUCCAAGAAGCAUCGUACUACCACAGCUCUAAUUCUUUAACCUUUAUAUAAAUCACCUAAGUGCGAAUCUUUAUCAUUUCACCUUUGUAUUUACAUAAAUAUUGGUCUACAUAACAAAAUAAAUAAAUAAAUAAAAACCAUUUUAUAUUUUUUUCAUGUAAUUUUGAUCACCUUUAUCGCCUUGAUUUUUUUUUGUUUUCACACUUUAGUUAACGAGUCAUGAUAGUUUUAAACAAAAGUACAUUUCAAGUAUAUCCUAAAAUCUAAUGGGUGUAAUUAUAGACCAAAUACUAGCGAUGCGCGAGGAUCAAAGUUUUACUGUAAAUUCUUCUAUCUUUCAAGAUGCGUUUGCGUGCCGAUGCUUUGGUCCAAAAAUAAGAACUGCAGUUUCGUAUGUCUCAUUACACACAGCGAAGAGUCGCCUCGCAAUGAAUCCGUUGACAAUCCUCUCAUCGAUUUCGAGCAUCGAUCACUGCCAGUUUACGUUUAUUCAAAGGGAGCGAAUCCUCGCGCCAAAGUUAUACACACCUGGAUACGCGAAUGAAAGCGUGAGCGUCCUGUUUGCUCGUGGUAGACAAACGCAUCUCGUCUGACACUUGUAGAACCACCUCAGAGCUCUGCAACACAUCGCAAGGAGCCGAGCUCGUUCACUUUGGGCUCGAAUCGUAUACAUCCGCGUUGAGGAACGGGCGGAGCAGCAGCAGCACCUGGUGUAAGGGACAGAAAUGAUUUAUCGAUAUUUUAUUUUCGGCUCACGCGUGUGCACAGCGACGUCUCUCAACCGGAUACGGUCAGCUUCGUGUCAACAGCGCCGACGGUGGCCUUGUUCUCUUCUCUCUCUAUCUCUCUUCCUUCCAGAAAAGCUCCCCUCGAAAUAUCGGUAAUUUUAUUUUCGAAAAUAAUAGCUACGUGACGGGGCAGUGCCGACCCUCUACUUAUCUGGCGCCUGCGCUCGUUACGCAGUCGUUAUAGGCAGAAACGCUUCUAGGAGUAUGGAGAGAAAGAGGGCCCACGGUUGUAUAUACAUCGCCUCCCCCUAAUCUCGCUCAGAGCUGGAGCCGCUCUGCGAUUAGCCGCGAUUACGACACUCGCGCCGACGAUCGCUUGUCGGUGUAUCGUCCGGCUUUGGUACCUUUCGCGCCGUCUUCGUCUGGCCCGCGUCGUCGUUGAUAAUUUAUUGGCUUCGUUAGGAGCUGAUCUGUUCAACGUUGACCGAUUGCAUCUUUCUGUUUACACUGAAGCGUUUUUCUGGAUAAUGGACCGUCUCAACAAUAUAUUUAAAAGAAGAUUAUUAUUUGAAAGAAAAAUAUAAAUCGAAAACAAACCACCUGCAUAAAAAAAAAUCUCGCCGUCAAAAACAUAUCGAUCACGUUCCCGCUCGCGCAUAAAAAUCGCAACAGCAUGGCAGUGCAAUUUUCGCAAAAAAUUUCACGCUGCGCAGGCACUUUGGCCGCCGCUGGUUCAUCUCGCUGGGCAGCCAAGCGGCGCUAAUUAUCGCGGCGGGAGCGGGAGAGAGAGAAAGACGAAAAUGAGCGGAUCCCGGGCGCACGUGUAAUGAUAAUGUGGAGACGCGCCUCCGCACCUCGGCUGCUAUCAUUACGCGGCGGCCGAUAAUCUUCAGCUCCGAGAAAAA